UACGAAGGGGGCUAGCGUUGCUCGGAAUCACUGGGCGUAAAGCGCACGUAGGCGGCUUUUUAAGUCAGGGGUGAAAUCCUGGAGCUCAACUCCAGAACUGCCUUUGAUACUGAGAAGCUUGAGUCCGGGAGAGGUGAGUGGAACUGCGAGUGUAGAGGUGAAAUUCGUGGAUAUUCGCAAGAACACCAGUGGCGAAGGCGGCUCACUGGCCCGGUACUGACGCUGAGGUGCGAAAGCGUGGGGAGCAAACAGG
rnacentral:rRNA from 1 species